AGAAGAACUACCUCGCUUAACUUCAAGCAACCCCCAAACUUCCAAGGUAGACAUGCAUUUAGUCAGUUGUUGUUGCUAUCCUGUAAUCAAGGGUUAGAACUUACAGGUAGCUAGAAAAACUAACUAAAAUGGAGAUCGUGAAGCACACAUCAUAUGAUGUAGGACAAGAAUGGCCGGGUUUAGCCAGACAGCCACCGAAUAAUCAAGAAGAAUGAAGACAUGGAAGAAUCCAAAUUUGCAAAAGCAUAUGUAACUGUGCAUAAGAACCAUGGUUAUCACCACAUCCACCCUACUUCGAAAGCUUGAAUAGUGUAACAGACAUCUGAAGACAUGCAAGUCCAAUAAACGCCGUACUUAAAAUGAAGAUUGGACCAUUUUGUGUGCUUUUGCUUACCUUCAUUUUGAGCAUUACUAUCUCUCAAACAUUAAUUGUCAGAUUGCAAUAUUUACACUUGAGCUGAGUUUACCAGAGUCAACUAAGAUGACCUUGUUCGAUCUCCUCAAUGUCAUAUAGAUUCCAUGCAGAUUUUUUGCCAGUAUAAAUCAAAACCUAUAUAGGAGAAGUCAUCCCAACAUUUCCUUUUACACU
rnacentral:lncRNA from 1 species